rnacentral:lncRNA from 1 species
UCCGCUUGGGCUGGCCGGGAGGCGGCUCCAGAAUGAACCGUGGAGCGCCGUGUUCCGGCUGCGCCGAGCUCCUCUCCCUGCUCCUCAGCCCCAUCUCUCCGCAGCUGCUGCGGAUGACUCUUUGUGGUGACGGGCUGGACCGCGCAGGGCAGGACGCCAGCAGGAGGCCGGGUUUGAGUGCUCGCAAGCAGCGCGGCAGGGGGCAAGGAUAGGAAAUGUACCAGACGAGAAGCUGCAGAACAGUGCCAGCAAAUUCAGAUUCCCUGGACAAUGCUGAGUGCCCGGACUCAAGUUUCCUAAUGCCUGCAAAGCUCCUAAGUCACAGGCACUGUGAGCUAGUGGCAGCAGAGGGACCCGAGGGAGGACUACACAGCAAGAGGAAGAGUCUGCUUCUAUCAGUUAUACAGGAUGCCGCAGCGCAGGGACGGCUGUGUGACUGCCUUACUCCCACACCUCAGAGAGCACACAGGGGACAACGCCACCCCAUUACAUAUGCAUUUACCAUCCUUGGGUUAAGAAAAUCAUUUGUGCUGUGCUCUGAACUUCUUGGGGAAACAGAAUGGAUGCCCCUGUCCACAGAGGAGGAUAUGCCUCCCCCUGGGUACAGGGGUCCACUCCAGCUACUUUCCUCUCCAAGUGGCUGUCCUGCUGUGUGAGAAUUGUGCCGCCAAAGCAGAAAGCCUUUCUGCUCUUGCCGGG